rnacentral:tRNA from 1 species
GCGGUGAUGGUCUAGAUGGAUGGGCCUCGGUCUUCCAAACCGAUGAGGCGAGAUCGUUACUCGCUCGCCGCUCCA